CGGUGCGGACAGCUCGCCUGAUGCAGUCGAGCGGAACGACAACAUUGACCCUUCGGAUGAUUUGUUGGGCGUCGAGCGGCGGACGGGUGAGUAAUGCCUGGGAAAUUGCCCUGAUGUGGGGGAUAACCAUUGGAAACGAUGGCUAAUACCGCAUAACGUCUACGGACCAAAGAGGGGGACCUUCGGGCCUCUCGCUUCAGGAUAUGCCCAGGUGGGAUUAGCUAGUUGGUGAGGUAAUGGCUCACCAAGGCGACGAUCCCUAGCUGGUCUGAGAGGAUGAUCAGCCACACUGGAACUGAGACACGGUCCAGACUCCUACGGGAGGCAGCAGUGGGGAAUAUUGCACAAUGGGCGCAAGCCUGAUGCAGCCAUGCCGCGUGUAUGAAGAAGGCCUUCGGGUUGUAAAGUACUUUCAGUCGUGAGGAAGGCAAUGAAGUUAAUAGCUGUGUCGUUUGACGUUAGCGACAGAAGAAGCACCGGCUAACUCCGUGCCAGCAGCCGCGGUAAUACGGAGGGUGCGAGCGUUAAUCGGAAUUACUGGGCGUAAAGCGCAUGCAGGUGGUUUGUUAAGUCAGAUGUGAAAGCCCGGGGCUCAACCUCGGAACCGCAUUUGAAACUGGCAGGCUAGAGUACUGUAGAGGGGGGGUAGAAU
rnacentral:rRNA from 1 species